AGUCCAUGAUGUGGGCAUUAUUGCAAUAAUCCCUUGAAUUGGUCCCACACCUCGAAUAAUGAUUCUUUGUCUUUCUACAUGAAGCUCGUGAUGAGAUGUCUCAGGUC